UGAUGAGGACCAUGAUGAUGAUUUGGGACUCUUGACAAGAAAGUUCAAAAAAAUUAUAAAAAAAAUAAAUCUAAAAAUAACACUAAAAAUAAAAUUGAACCCAAGAAAGAACAAGUUAUAUGUUAUGAAUGCAAAAAGUCGGGACAUUUCAAAAGCGAAUGUCCCCAAGUGAAGAUAAAACAACCAAAGAUGAAGAAGGCACUCAAAGCAAC
rnacentral:lncRNA from 1 species